rnacentral:rRNA from 1 species
UACGGAGGGUGCAAGCAUUAAUCGGAUUUAUUGGGCGUAAAGGGCGCGUAGGCCGAUUUAUAAGUCAGAUGUGAAAUCCCGGGGCUCAACUCCGGAACAGCAUUUGAAACUAUAAGUCUAGAGGGUAGGCGGAGAAAAUGGAAUUCCACAAGUAGCGGUGAAAUGCGUAGAUAUGUGGAAGAACACCAGUGGCGAAGGCGGUUUCUAGCUUACUCCUGACGCUGAGGCGCGAAAGCAAGGGGAAUCAAACAGG